CUAGUUGAGCUGCAGCUCAUUUGCUAAUUGAAGAGUGAUUGACAGGUCAGGAGCUCCAUGACUGGGAAUCCCCCGUGCCGCUGUGACACAGGACGAGCGACGAGGCAGGAGUGGGGAUGUGUUUGAACGAUGCGCCAGCGCCGUGGAGCCAAAUCGCUGGCUGUAAUUCCCAGCGGAGGAGCCGUCCAGCAGCCCAACGCCUUCUGUCAGUGCCUUUAAAGCUCCCUGGAGAGGCCUGGGCUCCUGUCUCCUCGCUGUCAGCGGCUGCAGAGGGAGCUCCACUCGCUUAGGGACCAGGAAUCUGAUGGCGGGGAACCAGCAGUAAUCACGAAGUCCUCCGAGCAGGUGAAGAGCAGAAGUGAUGCAGUCUGCAGCAGCAGCUUCAGCUUCAGUUGGGCCAGUGGCCGGGUCAGAACCAGAGAUGCGGGCCUUUAAAGGCGAGCCUUUAGUCUAUUAACAUUAAACAUUUU